UUGCAGGUAACCCAAGAAAUUUUAAAUGAAUCCCUAACCAAUCACAGUUAGGCAUCAAUUUGAAAUUAAUUCCUAACCAAUCACAGUUAGGCAUCAAUUUCCUCCGCUCUACCCUCUUGUGGGAAAGACGAAGACCUCUCACCCGUUCCACUCCACUCCAGCAGCCAUUAUACUGUCUGCGCGGGCACUGGCCUGCACAACUUUCAACAUCUGGAUAUACCUGCUGUGGAAGGGCAGGCAUCAACAGUUGAGGAAAUGUCCUUGAUAAAUCUCUCAACUGCCUGGAGGAAAAGCAGAUACCGAUUAAUAGCUUGUCCAAUGAUGGAGAAAUACAUUUAAAGGACAAUGGGAAA